GGCUGGGAGUAUUUGGAGGAGAACCUAAAAGGAUGCAGGAAGUGGCAAAAGGGGGAAUUCUACUCCAGAGAUCAGCGGUGGCAGGGGUGAGGGGCACAUCUGCCCAUAUUUCUUUAUUUUUGUGACUGACAGACUGCGGUGAAUUCCUGGAAGUCAACCAGGAAGAAAGCACUUAAAGGUACAGCAUGAUCAAAAUUAAAAGACAGUCGGCGUUUGGUGGUGUCAGCUGGGACAAGCCUGUUGCCACACGAGCAGCUCUGAAAUGUAGGGUGCAAGCUCAGAAAACCUGGAUUGAAUGAGCAUAUCCUACAGCCAAAGGUUUGAGCUCCAUCAGUGAAACGGGAACAGCUGUGUGCUCUGCAGAGCAGCAUGGCUGUGGGGGAAAGGUCCAUCCCAGGUGUCUCCUGUUCCUGUGAAGGGGCUCCCCAUGAGACUGAGGUUGGUGAAGGCUACCACCUGCUGGCAGUGACAGACCUCUCCAUGAGUCCAAGUGUAAUUUGAAUCCUGUGUGCACAUGAUUUAGGGGGUGCGUGGAGAUGGGGAGCAUCGCCUUCUGUAUGUCCUUCUGUAGGCGAGUGACUGACUCAAGACAUCUCAGCGGUGCCCCUGCUGCUCCCUUGACAGCACCCAAGAUGCCAGAAGGCCCGUCCCGUCCGUGAGGAAGUUCCAGUUCCUGACCUUGCCUUUCGUGGGGCAGGUGCUGGCCCAGGCAGGAGGAAGCAGCCGACCGAUUAGCCUGAAUGAGCUGCAAGGACUGGAGCUCCAGGACUCCCAGGUGAGAUGUGCUGAAAGGCAGCCUUGUCUGUGCUUGUCAGCUCAGCCACAGACCCUGCUCCUCGCUCAUGCUGGAGCGCUGGCCUGGCCAGUACGGAGAGUGUUACCAUAAGGCACAGCAGCAAAAGAUUAACUUGGCUAUAGACAGGCUGAAGGGCCACCUACCCUGGCUACAAGGAAAAACAGAAAUGCACCUCUGAGUGGUGACCCCUGGGUACUCGCAGGUGGCUCUCUGUCUGACUCCAUCUGUACUUGUAAAACUGAGCUCCUGAAAAGGUUCAGGUGGAGCAAGACUGUCCAUGUGCUUUGCUUUCCAAAUGGUUGGCACUCUGAACAAAUUUAACUCCCUCCUGGAAGUUGAGCCUCUAAAGAUAGGCUCAACUUCCAAGGCCAAAUCAUCCUUAGCAGCUCUUACAGAGAGCCGCCAACAUGCACGGUGACAAAUCAGCUCUAAGCAGUGUGCUGGAAGCUGUUGGCACAGCAGUGAAGUGUGUGAUGUCUCUCCCCACCUGACUGCUGAGAAGAAGGGGUGUCCUCUCCUCCUCACCUCCUUGCUACUGCACAAAAGGGAGGGGAAGCCCCUUGGAGGCUGGAGCUAUGACAGCCUGCAAGGGGAAAGCCACAGGUUCCCAUGUUUUUCUCCUUUAAAGAAGAAUCCAUUUUUAAAGUUUGCUCACAACCCUUUCAUAUAUUCUUGCAACCCAGCUUUGGGUCACAAUCUAUGGGUUGAGAAAUGCUGGUCUACUGACCUCGGCAAAAGUGGGGCAGGGUGGGUCUCUGCCUUAAUAAUGAAUGACCCUUACCUGGGUGUCUAUGUUAGCAUCAGGUGAAUGUAGCAAGCCUGCUUUAUUACAUGGCAGGACAUGUUGAGCAGGAUCUGACUUGUAAACAGCUGUAUUUUUUUUUGUAGGGCUUGAUUCAUGUUCUCCAGGGCUGAACUGAUGAAAUUUGCGGCUGGGAAAAAAACCCAACUGUGGGCGCUUUCAUUCACAUAUUGUCUACUAACCUUGGGGUGGGAGGGGGUGAGGGGUAGGGCAGGAAGAGAGGUGUAUCCCGAAGCAGAGGGCAUUUUGCUGCCUGCUUGUUUUCAGGGGGGCACCUCAGCAUAGCACUGACUGUCUGAAACUUGCUGUUUCUGUCAAUGUUAAUGCAGUCAAUUUGCGACUUGUCCUUGAGUAAAGAAAGAGAAUCAGCAAUGUCUUAAUUGGCUGCAUAGAGCUGAGGCCCAGCGAGCUGGAUGUGGGUGGGAGGUUCCCCCCGUUCAGUCUGUUAGUAGCCUGUAUUCCUGGCUACACUGGAAAUGUUUCCUCCCCACCCUGAGGGCUACACAGAAAACUAAAUAGGAUAGAAAAGCUCAUGCUGAGUGUUCAGGCAGCCUGGCCCAGCUGCACCCUAACACCAUCCUGCAAGGCAGCGUCUUUGCCUGGAAGACCAUCGGCUCAUGCUAUACAAGAUCAUCCUUCUCAUCUCCCCCUGCGGCUUGUUGCACAUUCUGGCAUCUCCCUCUUUGCAUGGCCAGUCCAAACCUUGCCAGAUCUUCCCCAUGUCAUCUCCAGAGUCUGUUUGUCUUUGCCGUGCCUUCCCUGAAUAGGCAAAGUCAGGGUAUUUUCUCUAAUUUCCAUUCUGCUCCUUUUAAGGCUGGUUCUGCACUUUGAGAAGGGGGCUUCCUCAUCUUCUACAACUGCCGAAUACACUGGCGCCCCUCACCGACUGCCAAAUCCACCAUUGACAUCCUAUCUGCUGAGAUCCAUCAGGCACAGGCUUUGCAAACCUGUUGCAGGCUCGUGCCUGUCUGCUACACCCUUCUGGACUGGAGAUAUUUCUGGGGUCUGGGUAUACUGUAUGCUCCACCGGGGAGGGGAAAUGGGCUCCAAAGAGAGAAACACUAUGACUCAGUCUGAGAUGGAUCUCAGAUAUAUCAUUAGUGUAGACCCUGUGUGUUAAAUAUCCCCUCUGAGACAUGAGGCUUGCAGUUGACCGGUAGUAGCCAUGUAGUAGUCAUGUGUAUAUAGCACCUUCCAUGGACAGAUGUGCCUACCCUAUACCAAAAGGAAUGAGAUUGGGCUGAUGUAGCAGGGAGCUUGGUGCUCUUGCUACUUUAAGGGAAGGCAGGCGGCAGGAGCAGCUGGCUGCAGGUGAGGCAGAGGGCAAUCAAGGGGGCCACAUGAGCCCAAAGGGAUUGGACUUGCAGGAUAUAAGCCCAGGGCUCCAGCUGGGCAGGCAAUCCAGCCCUGGGGCCACGGAGGCAAGAGCUCCUGACCACUCUGCAGGGGGAAUCUCUGCUAAAGCAGCCAAACUGCUGGGGGUAAGGACCGGUGGUUUAGGACUGUGUGAGUGGUGGAGGUUUCAACUGGCCCAGGAGUGGGGCCAAGGUGCAAGGGAUAGGGACCAAGGCUGAGGAGCAGGGCCACAGCUAAAAAGUGAUGACAGCAUGCAGGGCCAGGGCCAGGGACCGGUAGCCCGAGCAGGGCGAGAAGCAGGGUCAGGGACCCAUAGACCAGUAGGGUUGCAGCAGAUCAGACGUGAGCUGGGAGAGAGCCAGACUGGGUUUGGGGCAGUCAGCUGAAGAGACAGAGGCCGGAGCCCAGGAGAGGCUGGGAUGGUUAAAGGCACAGGGUUGGAGGCCCCAAAAGUAGCAGACUUCUCCAGGUUCAGAGGCCGCAUUGACUAGAGUUGACCCUGGGGCAGAAGGACUAAUGGGGUGGACCCCGCUGAUCCCUCAAAGUCAGACAGAGGAGCAGGAGAGUCUCUCUGCCCUGCAGCCAUAGACCCUCCCUGCCUGCCAUGGUCCUCUCUCCUCUUGAGUUCCUGCCAUGGGGAAAGCUUCCUCCCAGAGCUCCACAACCACUGGUGGCGUGUGGUCCAACUAGCCCACCUCUAUGACUUGCAGGAAUAAGUGCUGUUGGUGCUGUCACAGCUCCCAUGCCCACAUGUGUGUGGAUCCAGGCCAGGCGUGCUGUGUGGCUGCCUCACUGAAGCUCCAGGCCAUUGGCAUUGCUGUAGGGAGAAGGGGUUAUCACUUCUAAGCACCCCUGGCUUAGUUUGCCGGCCUGUGACUCACUGAUGUGAACGGUUCUUGCUGUUGCAUCUUCAUUUCUGAACUUCUGCUUUCCCCUCUGCUCCAGGGAGCAUCAUGACGAAUGAGAUCUUGUACUUGGCAAAGAUCCACCCAUUAUCACAAGGGUCCCUCUUGGCUCCCUCCGAUUUCAACGCCUUGCUUCAUCAUGCCAUUCAGUUCAGCACCCACUGGCUGCAUAAGAAACUGCACAGGAAAGGAUUACACCCUCUGAUCUACCAGAAGGAGCAAUAUCCUCUUGGGGACAUGGUGAUGAAGGGAACUUCUGGUCCCCUACAUUACCUUCAGAGACUUACCUGGUGGUGCCCUCAGUGCCAGCCUCAUAUGCCAGCAGAAAGCAAAGGUCAUCCUCCUAUGCAUACCACUACAUCUUCCAUCCUUUAAAGGGAUUAAGGACAUGCUGUCCUUUCUUGGAGAAUAUUGCAUGAGGAUGAGGAUGGCUUGCAACACGCUGUAGGAUGCACUGAGCAGAAAUCGCUUUUCCAUGAAGACCAAAAAAGCAGAGAAAAAUUCAGUGUGUUUAAAAAGAUGGGGGAAUGGUUUCUAUGUCCAUGCUGCAUUGUAGGGAUCAGUACAGCAAGUCCAGGAAGUUCUACCUAAUAGCUGAAAAUACCUGUGUAACUCAGGAGGUGGAGCUACCCGCCAGCUGCAGCCAGGUCUCUGUCUUGGAGCCCUCCUUCCUACAGUGUGGAGAGUCUCCCUACAGAAGGACACCUGGAGCCUUGAAACCAUCACUCAGACACAACUCAGUACUUAACUAUAUACAAUUUAUUUACAUAGGGAGAAAAGGGGAGGUAGAAAAAAACAUAAAAAUCAAUAGGUAUACCCAAAAAGAGACUAAUAGCUAUUAUAUACUAAUAACUAUUAUACUUGCGCUAUAGCAGUAUGAAACCCCAAACCGCCUCUACUUCUGGAAGUUUGGGAGCAGUCUCUGGGGAGGGGUGGGGGGUCAGUGAGAGCACCUUACACUCAACUCU